rnacentral:rRNA from 1 species
UAGUGGCGGACGGGUGAGUAACGCGUGGGAAUCUGCCCUCAGGAGGGGGAUAACGGUUGGAAACGACCGCUAAUACCCCAUAUGCCGAGAGGUGAAACGAAAUUCGCCUGAGGAUGAGCCCGCGUCUGAUUAGCUAGUUGGUGGGGUAAAGGCCUACCAAGGCAUCGAUCAGUAGCUGGUCUGAGAGGAUGAUCAGCCACACUGGGACUGAGACACGGCCCAGACUCCUACGGGAGGCAGCAGUGGGGAAUUUUCCGCAAUGGGCGCAAGCCUGACGGAGCAACGCCGCGUGAGGGAUGAAGGCCUCUGGGCUGUAAACCUCUUUUCUCAAGGAAGAAGGACUGACGGUACUUGAGGAAUAAGCCACGGCUAA